rnacentral:rRNA from 1 species
AAGUAGUAAAUCUAAUUAAAACUAAUUCAUUUCGGCAGUAUUUCAUCUGUUUAGAGGAACUUGUUCUUUAAUCGAUAUUCCCCGAUAAAUUUCACUUAUUUUAAAAAGUUUAUAUACCGCCAUCUAAAGAACUAAUUUAAAAAUAUUAUUCUAAAUCACUCAUAAUAAGUUAGGUCAAGGUGUAACCUAAAUUUAAGCAGAAAUGAGUUACUUUAAACCUAAUUUAAGAAUUAAAAUUAUCAAAUUUAUAUGAAAAAGGAUUUAAUAGUAAUAAAAAAAUAAUAAUUUUUUUUGAAACAGAUAAUAAAUAUGC